GGAUUCCUCGCAAGAAAAGGGAAAAGCGGACAGCUAUGAUCAAGCUAUCAACCUCUCUGCUCCAACUUCUUGCUCCCACGGUGGCCAACCAGCUGCUCCAAAGGGAAACCUGCAAGGCCCUGAUCCGAGCAUGAAAACAACUCUCCCCACCUCCUUUGGUUCAUAGCAAGUGGUACUGAGAAGCAGGGCUGCCUCCAUUAGAACAGGCGGAGAACAGCCAUUGCAGCUGCCUGCUGUUGAUAGCCUUCUUUUCCUCCCUGAUUUUAUCAUGUUCAAGCUGUCUUGGUUGGUGGCCACCUCUGCCUCUUGCUGGAGCAACAGUCUGAAAGGUAAAGAAUAAAGCGCAGACAUGGAGACAAACGCAGCUCCAAAGGAAACCUCCAGCAGCAGCAGCAACAGAAACCCAGGUGAGAGAGGGGAUGGAGAGGAACCAGAGCCAGCUUCCUCCACCUUCGCCUCCUCAUUGGCUUGUCGAAUCUGCCGCCGUAUCCCCUGCUGCAAGCGUCCUGCAAAGCCGUUGGCUCCAUUGCCUGCAAGGAGGAAUCCAGUCCAGGGUGAGGGUCGCGUUAUCCA
rnacentral:lncRNA from 1 species